CCUACGGGAGGCAGCAGUGGGGAAUUUUGGACAAUGGGCGAAAGCCUGAUCCAGCCAUUCCGCGUGAGUGAAGAAGGCCUUCGGGUUGUAAAGCUCUUUCGCAAGGGAAGAAAACUUAGAUACUAAUAUUAUCUGAGGUUGACGGUACCUUGAUAAGAAGCACCGGCUAACUACGUGCCAGCAGCCGCGGUAAUACGUAGGGUGCGAGCGCUAAUCGGAAUUACUGGGCGUAAAGCGUGCGCAGGCGGUUUUGUAAGUCAGAUGUGAAAUCCCCGAGCUCAACUUGGGAACUGCGUUUGAAACUACAAGACUAGAAUAUGUCAGAGGGGGGUAGAAUUCCACGUGUAGCAGUGAAAUGCGUAGAGAUGUGGAGGAAUACCAAUGGCGAAGGCAGCCCCCUGGGAUAAUAUUGACGCUCAUGCACGAAAGCGUGGGGAGCAAACAGGAUUAGAUACCCUGGUAGUCCACGCCCUAAACGAUGUCUACUAGUUGUUGGUAGGAGUAAAAUCCAUGAGUAACGCAGCUAACGCGUGAAGUAGACCGCCUGGGGAUACGGUCGCAAGAUUAAAACUUAAGAUAGUAGCGNGNGAGAGCGACGACGACGACGACGGAGGAGGAGG
rnacentral:rRNA from 1 species